rnacentral:rRNA from 1 species
AACGAACGCUGGCGGCAGGCUUAACACAUGCAAGUCGAGCGCCCCGCAAGGGGAGCGGCAGACGGGUGAGUAACGCGUGGGAAUCUACCCAUCUCUACGGAAUAACGCAUGGAAACGUGUGCUAAUACCGUAUACGUCCUUUGGGAGAAAGAUUUAUCGGAGAUGGAUGAGCCCGCGUUGGAUUAGCUAGUUGGUGAGGUAAAGGCCUACCAAGGCGAAGAUCCAUAGCUGGUCUGAGAGGAUGAUCAGCCACACCGGGACUGAGACACGGCCCAAACUACUACGGGACGCAGCAGUGGGGAAUAUUGGACAAUGGGCGCGAGCCUGAUCCAGCCAGGCCGCGUGAGUGAUGAAGGCCGUAGGGUUGUAAAGCUCUUUCACCGGUGAAGAUAAUGACGGUAACCGGAGAAGAAGCCCCGGCUAACUUCGUGCCAGCAGCCGCCGUAACAC